UGCCUCCUGUGCGGAUCGAACGCACGACCUCAGGAU
rnacentral:tRNA from 1 species